rnacentral:rRNA from 1 species
GAACGCUGGCGGCGUGCCUAAUACAUGCAAGUCGAGCGAACAGAUAAGGAGCUUGCUCCUUUGACGUUAGCGGCGGACGGGUGAGUAACACGUGGAUAACCUACCUAUAAGACUGGGAUAACUUCGGGAAACCGGAGCUAAUACCGGAUAACAUAUUGAACCGCAUGGUUCAAUAGUGAAAGGCGGCUUUGCUGUCACUUAUAGAUGGAUCCGCGCCGUAUUAGCUAGUUGGUAAGGUNACGGCUUACCAAGGCAACGAUACGUAGCCGACCUGAGAGGGUGAUCGGCCACACUGGAACUGAGACACGGUCCAGACUCCUACGGGAGGCAGCAGUAGGGAAUCUUCCGCAAUGGGCGAAAGCCUGACGGAGCAACGCCGCGUGAGUGAUGAAGGUCUUCGGAUCGUAAAACUCUGUUAUCAGGGAAGAACAAAUGUGUAAGUAACUGUGCACAUCUUGACGGUACCUGAUCAGAAAGCCACGGCUAACUACGUGCCAGCAGCCGCGGUAAUACGUAGGUGGCAAGCGUUAUCCGGAAUUAUUGGGCGUAAAGCGCGCGUAGGCGGUUUUUUAAGUCUGAUGUGAAAGCCCACGGCUCAACCGUGGAGGGUCAUUGGAAACUGGAAAACUUGAGUGCAGAAGAGGAAAGUGGAAUUCCAUGUGUAGCGGUGAAAUGCGCAGAGAUAUGGAGGAACACCAGUGGCGAAGGCGACUUUCUGGUCUGUAACUGACGCUGAUGUGCGAAAGCGUGGGGAUCAAACAGGAUUAGAUACCCUGGUAGUCCACGCCGUAAACGAUGAGUGCUAAGUGUUAGGGGGUUUCCGCCCCUUAGUGCUGCAGCUAACGCAUUAAGCACUCCGCCUGGGGAGUACGACCGCAAGGUUGAAACUCAAAGGAAUUGACGGGGACCCGCACAAGCGGUGGAGCAUGUGGUUUAAUUCGAAGCAACGCGAAGAACCUUACCAAAUCUUGACAUCCUUUGACCGCUCUAGAGAUAGAGUCUUCCCCUUCGGGGACAAAGACAGG